AGCGAACGCUGGCGGCAGGCCUAACACAUGCAAGUCGAACGAACUCUUCGGAGUUAGUGGCGGACGGGUGAGUAACACGUGGGAACGUGCCCUUUGGUACGGAAUAACUCAGGGAAACUUGAGCUAAUACCGUAUGUGCCCUUCGGGGGAAAGAUUUAUCGCCAUUGGAGCGGCCCGCGUCUGAUUAGCUAGUUGGUGAGGUAAAGGCUCACCAAGGCGACGAUCAGUAGCUGGUCUGAGAGGAUGAUCAGCCACAUUGGGACUGAGACACGGCCCAAACUCCUACGGGAGGCAGCAGUGGGGAAUCUUGCGCAAUGGGCGAAAGCCUGACGCAGCCAUGCCGCGUGAAUGAUGAAGGUCUUAGGAUUGUAAAAUUCUUUCACCGGGGACGAUAAUGACGGUACCCGGAGAAGAAGCCCCGGCUAACUUCGUGCCAGCCGCCGCAGUAA
rnacentral:rRNA from 1 species